UCGACAGCCUUCGCUACUGCCACCACCAGUAGCCGAUGGAGAGCGCACAGGCUACCGGCGGCGGAGCCCCCGGACGCUUGCCGGCACCUGGUCCGUUGGCUGGUGCAAGUCGGCGUACUGAUGUGUCCGCUGUCCCCGCCGACGUCAAUCUGGCCCUGCUUGUGUAUCCCAUCAGCUUGGAGCCGGAGCUCAAUCUGGUGGUCUACUGCAUCGAGCUCGGCUCCGGUUUCGCUGCGGACGGAUACUCCGUGUAUCUCACCUUCACCGUUGGCGUAGCCGGCUCCUGGGGCGACAACCUCACCCGUCAUCUGCGUCGUGGGAGGGCACAACUCCGACGACUAUGGCACCUGCCGCAUCCUCCUCCAUACCAUCGGCUUCUCCGAGGAGGUGGUAUAUAAUUUGGAGUGGACGAUGAUCCACACGGCGAUCUCGUCGGACUUGAAGCAGAGCUUGCCCGUAUACUUCAAUCGUCAGCAUCAGCCGCAGCUUGUCGGGGAUCCACACCUACCUUCGUGAUCGAGCACAUUGCAUACUUCCUCGCGCCCAAAUAGGCUGUAAAGCCAUUGUUAGUUGCAGGACUGAAACUGAGGGUAGCCAAAGCCCAGCGGGCCUUCAUGGAGCUAGCAGAUGCAUGUGAGUAUCCAAUAGCCAUUAUUGCAUCAGCUAAAGGUAUGGUACCAGAUCACCGUCCUCACUUCAUUGGUGCUUAAUAGUUGUACCAUAAGUACCAACUUCUGUGGUGAGAUUGUGGAAUCAGCUGAUGCAAAUGUGUUUGUUAGGUGAAUGUUUAAUGACUAUAGCUGUGUGGGCUAUUCCAUGCUGAGAAGAAGCAGUGAUUGGACAGCCUGACCGAGUUACUAUUGAUAAUGGUCUUUCCCUUUCAUUGUGGGCUUUUUAACUGCAUCUCGGAAGCUCAGGAAGAAUACGACUACUUCGGUUAAUUACUGGUGUAUCUACAGCCUUCAAGCAUUCAAAUGGGAGAAUAAUGAGCCUUUAUGGGUCAAUAUCCUUUUUAAGCACAUUCAGGCAAGUUUGCCAUUAUUAUUCUUGCUAUCAAAUCAUAUUUCAUUUAUUUGUUUUUCCCUUAACAUGAUUGAAAUCUAAAUUUUAUUUUUCAGUCAAAUACUAAUUUCAUUUCAGGUAAUAUACCCUCCUAUAUCAUUUGGUAUCAUUAAAAAAAAAAAGAGCACCAACCGUUACGAACUUAUAUUGGUAUGACAUCAGUCCUUGGUUGCAAAACACCUUUUAUUUUGUUCUUCUUCUUCCUUCACUUUUUUGAGGGGUUGACUACUUCAGUGACAUUCAAAACUUUGUUGUGUAUAGCUAAUUUUGACAAAAAGUACAUAAUUGUUGCAUUUUUUUAUCACCAUUUUCAACACCAACCUUCUCCCAUCUUAAAAAUAUCAAAGAGCAUCUUUGUUCACAACAAAUGCAUAAUUCUAAUUAGGUUCAGUAUUGUACUACUUGUUUCUUGUACAAUUGAUGCCAUUAAGCAGGAUGUGCUGAGUGGAGAGACCAAUGUUAUUAUAGAGACUGGUGAUUCAUGGUUCAAUUGCCAAAGACUUUGUUUGCCAGAGAAGUGUGGUAUGGAUCUAUUGGAUUGUCAGUAGGAGCCACUCUUAAAUAUUCUGAUGCUGUCAAGGAAAGGCCUGCUAUUGCUCGAAUAGGUGCAGGAAGUUUCCAGGUAAAUGAGAGAGUGACUACCUGCAUGUUCAUCUCACAAAGAUGUUCUUAUGUGAAAAUUAGUGAUUAGAUCAGCUUUUGCAUUCAGAUUAUGCUUUUUUAUGAAUAAUGUGAGAAAUGUCUUCUUUCUGACCCAGCAGUAUAUAGAGGGCUGGUGGUACUUACAUUUGGGUUCCUCACAUCUUAAAGGAAGAAAAAAAAAGAAAAAAGGGGGAAAAAAUAGUUUCUGUGUAUUCAGUACUCAGCAUCAAGGUCUGCAAUACCGAAUGACACCGCCCGUAUCGGGCGGUAUAUACCGGUCCGUCAACAAACUGAUACACGAACCGUCCACUACUGAGGGGUACCAUCGAUUGAGGCGUUAUCGCCGAUGGUGACCA